ACAGAACCGUGAACUCCUUGUCGUCACCAGCAGAUCCCUUGACCGGGUUUCUGCUGGGCGUCGUAUCGCCUAACAGCCAUGCGGCGGGUCUCACGGCCGGCCUUACGGCUGACCGCGGGGCCGACUGCUUUAACCCAACAAACACCAAAGCAAUCAAUCUGAAACAGUUUGCCGUCGACUUGAUCGGCGUGCAACCAAACAAAUGACAACUCUCAACAACGGAUAUCUUGGCUCCCGCAUCGAUGAAGAACGCAGCGAAAUGCGAUACGUAGUGUGAAUUGCAGAAUUCCGUGAAUCAUCGAAUCUUUGAACGCAUAUUGCGCUCGAGACCUCGGUCAAGAGCAUGUCUGGCUCAGCGUCGGCUCACCCCCUCGCCACCCUCUCCCCUGUGGAGAUGGGCAGGCGGAUCUGGCCGUGUCUGUACUCCUUGAGAGAACAGGCUCGGCUGAAGAACAGAGCUUGAGCAUGGUCCCGCUGAUAGGGCGCCAGCUUGGUAGGUAGCUUACGCUGCAUGCCGCUGACUCCCCUAGGGACCUGUGCUGUAAAGCCGGCAGGAAUCGGAGCGCAAGCUCCGAACUCUAACUUUCGACCUGAGCUCAGGCAAGACUACCCGCUGAACUUAAGCAUAUCA
rnacentral:rRNA from 1 species